CAGCCGCCACGGGAAUACGAAGGGGGCUAGCGUUGCUCGGAAUCACUGGGCGUAAAGGGUGCGUAGGCGGGUUUUUAAGUCAGAGGUGAAAUCCUGGAGCUCAACUCCAGAACUGCCUUUGAUACUGGGAAUCUUGAGUAUGGAAGAGGUGAGUGGAACUGCGAGUGUAGAGGUGAAAUUCGUAGAUAUUCGCAAGAACACCAGUGGCGAAGGCGGCUCACUGGUCCAUAACUGACGCUGAGGCACGAAAGCGUGGGGAGCAAACAGGAUUAGAUACCCCUGUAGUCCCUGUCUCUUAUAC
rnacentral:rRNA from 1 species